GACGAACGCUGGCGGCGUGCUUAACACAUGCAAGUCGAACGGACCGACCGUGCUUUGUUGGGGUGCUCGAGUGGCGAAAGGGUGAGUUACCCUUGAGUACCCUGUCCUUGACUUUGGGAUAACUUCAUGCAACUGGGGCUAAUACCGGCUAGGAGCUCCUGCUGCAUGGUGGGGGUUGGUAGGUUUCGGCGGUUGGGGAUGGACUCGCGUCUUAUCGGCUUGUUGCUGGGGUAGUGGCUUACCAAGGCUUUGACGGGUAGCCGGCCUGCGCGGGUGACCGGCCACAUUGGGACUGAGAUACGGCCCAGACUCCUACGGGAGGCAGCAGUGGGGAAUAUUGCACAAUGGGCGGAAGCCUGAUGCAGCAACGCCGCGUGCGGGAUGACGGCCUUCGGGUUGUAAACCGCUUUCGCCUGUGACGAAGCGUGAGUGACGGUAAUGGGUAAAGAAGCACCGGCUAACUACGUG
rnacentral:rRNA from 1 species